rnacentral:rRNA from 1 species
CAGAGACUGCGAGCGUUAAUCGGAAUUACUGGGCGUAAAGCGUGCGCAGGCGGUUUUGUAAGUCUGUCGUGAAAUCCCCGGGCUCAACCUGGGAAUGGCGAUGGAGACUGCGAGGCUAGAGUUUGGCAGAGGGGGGUAGAAUUCCACGUGUAGCAGUGAAAUGCGUAGAGAUGUGGAGGAACACCGAUGGCGAAGGCAGCCCCCUGGGUCAAAACUGACGCUCAUGCACGAAAGCGUGGGGAGCAAACAGGAUUAGAUACCCUGGUAGUCCACGCCCUAAACGAUGUCUACUAGUUGUUGGGUCUUAAUUGACUUAGUAACGCAGCUAACGCGUGAAGUAGACCGCCUGGGGAGUACGGUCGCAAGAUUA